rnacentral:SRP_RNA from 1 species
CGCCCCCAGCCAUGGGGGCCCCGAAGGCGCCACGCGGGGGCCAGAAGAACCCGCCCCCAGAGCUUGAAGCAGGCCAGCAAGGGCCUGCAGGGUACAAUGAACCCCGUCCCGCGGGGCCGGCGGAGGCGGGCGGCCAGCCGGAGGGCCGGCCGAAGCCGCCGUAGCCGGGGCCACCCGGCGAGGCCCGGAAGGGAGCAGCCGACCCCGGCCGACCGGCGUUCGCGGGGGGAACGGGGGGAGAAGCCCUGCAGGGUAACCCUCUGGCCUGCUUCAAACUCUGGGAGCGGGGGCUCGGGGGCGGGCC